rnacentral:lncRNA from 10 species
CUUACUUUUGACUGCUAGCCUUAAUGAUAAAAUAAAUAGUUGAUUAACACUUUUUUAAGUUAUUUAUAUCAUAUACUCUAUUAUUCCAAUAAACUAUGCUAAAGAAAAAAAUGUAAUUAAGUAAACUAUAAAAAUGAGAAAAUAUAUUUACUACUUAUUAAGUACUUGUUUACAGGUGACACACACAGAAGAAAAUACAAGUGGAUCUGCAAAUUUCAAACCCAAUUUAUUCAAGGGUUAACUGUACCAGGAUGAAUAUAGGAGUCUCUAUCUGUAUUCUAGGGCUUUCUCUUUGCUGUACCUCUGCUCACUUGCAAUGGCAAUAUACAUGUCUUAUGUUCUUUACAGUCUUGGGCAGAGAACUCUGCCUGCAUGCAUUGCUGACCAAAUGACCUGAAAUGUGUAUCUCUUAGGAAAGUGCUAUGGUUUCACUGUGUCCUCCAGAAUCCAUCUGUUGUAAAGUUAAUUCUCAGUGUAAUGGUAUUGCCAUGUGGGGCCUACUGGGAUGUGUUUAGAUCAUGAGUGUGGUGCCCUCUAGUGGAAUACAUUAAUGCCAGUAUAAACAGCAAUUGUGGGGCUGAGAUCUCUCUCUCUUCUGCUUGUCUGUCAUGUUAAGACAUGGCCUUCCUUCCUUUGAAGGACCCCAAACUCAAGGCAUCAUCUUGAAAGCAAAGAAAGCAGACAUUAACCUGCCCAUGCCUUGAACUUAAAUUUUCCAUUCUCCAGAAGUGUAAGAAAAUAAAUUUGUGUUCUUUAUGAAUUACUCAGUGAAAAGGAAUCUGUUACAGCAGCUUGAAAUAGAACAAGAGAGACAGCUCACAAUCAGUGAGGACAGGAUGAGGUGUAUACAUACUUAAGCUUCCUCAUCUCUCAGGUGGAACAGCCCGGAGGAAUUUAGUCCAUGUUUCCACAGGUGGUUGAUCUUCAGUUCUCCUGAGUCAGGUCACAAAAUUUAAAAAUGCCUAAACCGCAGCAGCCCGGCAUUCCUCCAGGACCUCCUCCCCUGGGAUCUUGCUUCAAGUGCUGGAAAUCUGGCCACUGGACCGAGGAAUGCCCACAGCCUGGGAUUCCUCCUAAGCCGUGUCCCAUCUGUGCGGGACCCCACUGGAAAUUGGACUGUCCAACUCUCCUGGCAGCGACUCCCAGAGCCACUGGAACUCUGGCCCAAGGAUCUCUGACUGACUCCUUCCCAGAUCUUCUCAGCUUAGCUGCUGAAGACUGAUGCUGCCCAAUCGCCUUGGAAGCCUCCUGGACCAUCACAGACACUUUGGGUAACUCUUACAGUGGAGAGUAAGUCCAUCCCCUUCUUAAUCAAUGUGGAGUCUACCCACUCCACAUUACCUUCUUUUCAACGACCUGUUUCCCUUGCCACCAUAACUGUUGUGGGUAUUGAUGGCCAGGCUUCUAAAUCUCUUAAAACUCCCCAACUCUGAUGCGAACUUGGACAACAUUCUUUUAUGCACUCCUUUUUAGUUAUCCUUACCUGCCCAGUUUCCUUAUUAGGUCGAGACGUUUUAACAAAACUAUCCACUUCCCUGACUAUUCCUGGGCUACAGCCACACCUCAUUGCCACCCUUUUCCUCACUUCAAAGCCUCCUUUGCAUCCUCCCCUGUGUCUCCCUGCCUUAAUCCACAAGUAUGGGAUACCUCUACUCCUUCCUUGGCAACUGAUCAUGCACCCCUUACCAUCCCGUUAAAACCUAAUCACUGUUACCACUAGAGCGUGUUAUCACCCACCUGUUACAACAUGGCCUCUUAAAGCCUACAAAUUCUCCUUACUGAGGGAAGAGAGAGACCCUCUCAUAUUGUUUUAUAUUGUUUUAUACUCAGUACCUGUUUUAAGAGUAAAAAUCAAGGAAGUGAAAUCAGAGACAGGCAGCCCGGCGCCAGGCCUGGGCCUGCCUGGCCUAAACCUAGUAGUUAAAAAUCAACUCAUGACUUAGCAACCAAUGUUAUCCAUAGAUUCCAAGCAUUGUAUGGAAGAACAUUGUGAAACUCCCUGUUCUGUUCUGUUUGACUCUGACUACCAGUGCAUGAAGACCCUGUUACAUAACCCCUAGAUUGCUCAAUCAAUCACGACCCUUUCAUGUAAAAUCUUUAGUGUUGUGAGCCCUUAAAAUGGACAGAAAUUGUGCACUCAAGGAGCUCCGAUUUUAAGACAGUAGCUUGCCGAUGCUCCCAGCUGAAUAAAGCCCUUCCUUCU